rnacentral:tRNA from 1 species
GCGCCCAUAGCUCAGUUGGUUAGAGCACCAAGCUUAUAUCUUGGCGGUCCCAGGUUCGAGUCCUGGUGGGCGCA